GAGGAGAUGAAGAGAGGGAACGACGCAGGCAGCGAGACGCGGGGACUGACCUUCUGCUGAUUCGUCAGAAGGAGAAUCACCUGUUUCUGGAGACUGACUCUCGAAACUGCGGAUGCCAAAACCGUGGAUAAGUAAGGGACAUUCACAGGAAUUGCUCGGAGGAGUACUGGUUUAGGUGAGCAGUUCAUAAAGUGCUGGGAUCAGAAACAUUACGAUCAUGUGGAAACCUGUUAGAUCUACUGAACAUUUGUGGUUUGUAAGUCUUCCAGGGGAAUCUAAUGCAGCUGAAAUUUGAGGAAGAGCAGAUCUCACACAAAGGAGGGGCACCUGGGCGGCUCAGUCGGUUAUCCCUCGGACUCUUGAUUUCGGCUCAGGUCAUGAUCUCCAGGUCAUGGGGCAUAUGAAGAAUGCUGCUAAGAACCAGCAGACCUCGAGUAGCCCUGCCAUACUUGAGGAUAAAUGCCAGGAGCCAAAGGUCCAGGGAACCCAACCCCUUUGGCCAGGUUUGGUGGUGGAGAGCAUGGCUGAGACUCAGGGAGCUGACAACAUCUGAAACCGACGAGGAGGAGCCAAGGCCGAAAAAUGGUGGAUCAACCAGCCAGUUCUACAAAGACCCAGGAGUCAAAGA